rnacentral:lncRNA from 1 species
ACUUUUUUCUUUGGGCAUGUGAUAUUACUGAUGUUUGGGGUCUUAGGGGCUGUUUGGUUUCCAGGGACUUAUUCCAAUUCCAUGUCACAUCGGAUGUUUGGAUACUAAUUUGGAGUAUUAAACAUACACUAAUUACAAAACACAUUCCAUAUCCUUGGACUAAUUCACGAGACGAAUCUUUUGAGUCUAAUUAUGUCAUGAUUUUGACAAUGUGAUGCUACAGUAAACUUUUUAUAAUUAUAGAUUAAUUAGGCUUAAAAAAUUCGUCUCGCGGAUUAGCUCUCAUUUAUGAAAUUAGUUUUUUUAUUAGUCUAUGUUUAAUACUCUAAAUUAGCGUCCAAACAUCCGAUGUGACAUGAGCUAAAAAGUUUUAGCCCCAUCUAAACACCCCCUUACUCUGGCAUGAGUAGCUUAAGCUUUGGUGGAGACUUAUUUCUGGCAUGAGUAGCUUAGGCCCUGUUUCUUUGAGGGACUUUAAGAAGAAGUCCCCCCACUUAAGUCCCUAAAAGUUCCUAGAGAAACAAACAGGAGGGACUAAAAAGUCCCUAAUAGUGCAUUUUCCAGAAGUCCCAAAUGGAGGUGCUUAUUGGGAAAAAGUGGCUCUAUUCCAGCCACUGCCCCUUCACGCCAGCCAUCCCUAUCCAUUUCCUCGCCCACUCUCUUUCCUCGCCUUAUCUCUUCCUCGCGUCGUCUCUCUCUCGCUCCUCACAACGCCGCACCCUCGCCGCCGUCUCUCUCUCGCUUCUCACAACCCCGCGCCCUCGCCGCCGUCCUGCGUUAGCCCCCACCGCAGCUACGUGCUAGCUAGUCCUCUGCCCGCCGCUUGGUUCGCCUGGUCUCGUGCAAGCCGACGCCGCUCGCGCAAGCCUCACGAAUCGCGCAUCAACAAUGGCGGGUGGAAAUCCUCACGAUUUCUUCUCCCAGUCGUUCAAUGAAGCUCCAACGGGCCACAUGGACGGUUCCGACUACGGCUUCUCGCAGGGGUCUUCAGGAUAUGGUGGAUCUGGCGCCGGCAUCCAUUUUGGGGGAGGGGGAUCGGGGGGCCUCGAUCUGAACUCCCAGGCCGACGCCUUCCCUGAUUUCGCCUCCUACCAACAGAUCCUUCAACCGGGUAGCCUUGUGUUACCUCCGAUUCGGGCAGGGAGCAGAUCCACAGUCCCCCCGUCACGUCCUCCUCCAGCGGCGGGAGGGGGACGUGGCAGAAGUCGUGGAGGGAGAGGAGGAGGACGAGGCCGUGGCAGGUCGUUGACCAAUAGCGCUGGAUCUGGCAGGGGAAUGGGAGGAUUUGUUCCUCCUGGCUCAUCGUCUGGCCAAGGAGGCGUCCGAGGUCAUGGGGCAUCCAUGUCGCACAGCGGGCCACCCGCCUUCAACUUUGGAGUCUUCGGAGGAGGACGGCGAGCCGGUGCCUCGUCGUCUCAAGGGACAAAUGUGUCCGAGGACGACGGCAACGAAGAAGACGAAGAGGACUUUGGUCCUGAUGGUUAGCAUAUGGUAAACCCCCCAUGGUUACUUUCUGUUAUGUUUGAUUUGUUCUAUUGCGAAAUAUGUCAAUUGUUGCUCAUGAUAUUGAUACUGCUAUGCAUGCCGUGAUCUAAGCAUUUGUAUUACAGUAUAUGUUGUUCAUUGGUUAAUUUAGGGUUAAAUCAUGUUUUUCUUUCCUAGAAUACGUAUGACAAGGCAAAUUGGACAGAAGAAAAAACUUACACAUUGUGUGAAAUAGCAUGUGAGGAAAUAAGGGAUGGGCAUUGUCCUAGUGGAGCAUGGACAACUAGAGGGUACCAGAAUUUGAAGGCCAAAUAUUUCCAAAGGGCUAACCUAAGGCAUUCAACCAAACAGAUAAAGAAUAGAUUCACCCAUCUAAAGAAUUAUUACAUUGCUUGAGUGUGGCUGAACCAACAAACUGGAGCUGGUAGAAGUGCUAGUGGAGAAAUAAUUGCAUCAAAUGCUUGGUGGGAAAAAAAAAUUAAGGUAUGCAGUUGUCAAAAAUUUAGCUAGUUUACAUGAUUUUAGAGUUUUCUGUGAUAUUGAUUUAGUGUCAAUACAGGAGAAGGGGGACGCCAAGAAAUUUCGCCAUGGCAACCCUGAGUACUUAGAUUUUCUUAUAGAGAUAUUUCAAGGAGUUGCAGUUGAUGGUUCCACAGCAUACAUCCCUGGUUUUGAAGAUGAAGAUGAAGAGGAAGGAGAAGAUGAAGCAGGGGAUGCAGGGGAGGCAGCUAGAGGGGAAAGAGCUGUAGGUGAUGGUUAUGAGAACAGCCCCAUGAGCACUAACAGCAGGAAGAGAGGGAGUAGCAGCUGUGAUGUGUCCACAGCUUCUAGUCCUGGGAAAAAAAAGCAAGAGCCCAGUGGUGAAGCUCAUGAAGGGGCCGCUCAAUUCUUUCAACUCUGAUUGUGAUAAGUCAAAUACCCUAAUUACUGAACUUGUUAACAGCAAGAAGUUAAAGGAGCAGAAGAAAGAAGAAAUUGCUGAGUCAUUGACAAACUGUCAGAGGUUGGCAGUAGAGUGUGGUGCAGCAGAAGACAGUGUGGAAUACUUUUGUGCCACAUAGUUGUUUGCUUCCAAUCAUAACAGAGUUAUGUUUAAGAACAUUAGCACUAAAGAAGCAAGAUUUAUGUGGCUGAGGAGAUGGUGCCAGCAGAAGAAUUUGUAUUAGAUGGUCCCUUUCUUUAGUUGCAUAUCAUGGGUCUGGUCUGCAUUAGUUGUGUCUUAGCUGCAUUAGUUAUGAUUUACUUUUGUGUUGAACUAUCAACUUGUUUGAUGUGAUGUGACGUAAUGAACAUGUGAUGUGUGGACCUAUUUAAACCUUCCCUUCUCUUCUUCUUGAAGUUUGUUCAUAUUAUAUUUAUGAUGUGCUUUCUUUCUAUGCAUAUGUCACUCCUGCAGGAUGGUGAAGGCAGUGGUGAUGAACAUAUCUCUGAGGAAGAUAGCAGUGAUGAUGAGAUUGAUCUUAUCAUUUAUAUUUUGAAGAAAAGAGAAAUGGACAGGAGAAGAGCAUGUAUGCUUGCCGCCAUGAUUGGUACGUAUUACUUGGAACUUUACUCUAAUAAGGCUCCAAGAAGGGGAGCACCUGAGUCUGGACAUGAUUGGGUUAUGAGAACAUUAGCCAAUAGAACUGCUUGUUACAACAUGUUUAGGAUGCACAGGCCAGUUUUUGAGAGGUUACAUUCUGUGCUUGUGGAAUCAUAUGAGUUGAAGUCGACAAACAACAUGGAUUCCUUGGAGUGUUUGGGUCUUUUUUUAUGGAUAGUAGGUGCUCCCCAAUUAGUUAGGCAAGCCCAAGACAGAUUUGUUAGGUCUCUUAAUACAGUACAUAGUAAGUUCAAAGCAGUUUUGACCGCUCUACUGAAACUUGCACAAGAUAUCAUUAGGCCAAAAGAUCCCUUAUUCACAACAGUCCAUAAGAAAUUGCUUUCUCCUCAGUACACACCAUAUUUGGAUAAUUGCAUUGGAGCAAUAGAUGGUACUCACAUCCAAGUUGUGGUGCCAAAUUCAGCUGCUGUUCAACAUAGGAAUAGACAUAAGGAGAAGAGUCAGAAUGUUAUGUGUGUCUGUGACUUCGAUAUGAGAUUUACUUUCGUGCUUGCUGGGUGGCCUGGUUCGGUUCAUGACAUGAGGGUAUUCAAUGAUGCACAAACUAGAUUUAGUGCCAAGUUUCCAAAGCCACCUCCAGGAAAGUUUUAUCUCGUAGACUCAGGAUACCCAAAUAGGCCGGGUUAUCUAGCACCAUACAAGGGUAUAACAUAUCAUUUCCAAGAGUACAACGAAAGCACAUUGCCAAGGGGAAGAAGGGAGCACUUUAAUUACUGCCAUUCUUCGUGUCGGAAUGUCAUAGAGAGGUCAUUUGGGGUCUUGAAGAACAAGUGGAGGAUUUUGUUUAGUUUACCUAGCUACUCGCAGGAAAAGCAAAGCAGAAUUAUCCAUGCAUGCAUAGCACUUCAUUAUUUCAUUAGAGACAGUCAAAUGGCUGAUACAGAGUUCGACAAUUGUGACCAUGAUGAAAAUUAUGAUCCAUUGGGUGGAACCUCUUCUCCAUCUAGCGAACCAACAAACGAAUUGGACUCGCGUGUCAUGAACCAAUUUCGGGACUGGAUUGCCGAUGGCUUGUGGUAUUUGAAAGGAAUGUAAUGAAUGGUUCAAUUUUUCUUGUGAAUUGUAUUUGGUUUAACUUGUCAAUUGAACCAUGAGUGCUUGUAAUUUGUAACAUUGAAACUUCUGUGAUGUAUUUCAACAACUUGAGAUGUAUAUGAGCUUCUUUGAAUUUCUGUGAUUGGGCUGUGAUAUUGAUGAUGAAAUUGAUGUGGGGGUUAUUGCUUGUGAUUCGGCUUGUUGAAGGUGUGUGUUUGUCCAAAUUAUGAUGGAUUAAAUCAUGUGAUGUUGGGGUCAAACAUUGAUUUGGCUUGCAUUUGGUUGUGCUGUCAUGCAGCAACAAUGGUUUGCUUGUAAAAUGCUAGCAGCGGCAGCAAACAGCAUGCUGCAGCAAGGGCAUGGUGCAGUCCACUUUGCAUGGUUUUAGGGGGUAAUAUGGUCAUUGUGCAGUGCAUUUAAUGAACUUAAGUCCCUUUUAGUCCCUAUAACCAAACAGCCAUGAACUUAAUUGAUUAGUCCUAAGACUAAAAUAAGUCCCUAGGACUUAUGGAUCCAAACACCACCUUAGUCUUUGGUGGGGACUUAUUUCUAUGGGCAUGGUGUUACUGAUGUUUUGGUGUCUUAACUCUGGCAUGACUUAGUUGUUAGGAGCAUGUGGCUCAGAUGUAAUUUGUUGUUGGGAGCAUGUAAGAAACUAGUAGUAACUAAUUAUAUAUGGUAUUCUAAUCAUGUGUUGGGAUUACAAUAUGUGUAAAUGUUCCUUAGAUUUUCUAUUUGCAUGCUAAUAUUUUUUAUCAAAAUGUAUUCGGUUGGAUUUGAAUUUUAUUUCAUGUGUCCUAUAGUA